GAUGAAGAACGUAGCGAAAUGCGAUAAGUAAUGUGAAUUGCAGAAUUCAGUGAAUCAUCGAAUCUUUGAACGCACAUUGCGCCCGCCAGUAUUCUGGCGGGCAUGCCUGUUCGAGCGUCAUUUCAACCAUCAAGCCCCCGGCUUGUGUUGGGGACCUGCGGCUGCCGCAGGCCCUGAAAACCAGUGGCGGGCUCGCUGUCACACCGAGCGUAGUAGAUUUUCAUCUCGCUCAGGGCGUGCUGCGGGUUCCGGCCGUAAAAAGCCUUAUUUACCCAAGGUUGACCUCGGAUCAGGUAGGAAGACCCGCUGAACUUAAGCAUAACAAUCAGCGGAGGA
rnacentral:misc_RNA from 1 species